AGACAGCAGUCGCCACGGGAAUACAGAGGGUGCGAGCGUUAAUCGGAUUUACUGGGCGUAAAGCGUGCGUAGGCGGCUUCUUAAGUCGGAUGUGAAAUCCCUGAGCUUAACUUAGGAAUUGCAUUCGAUACUGGGAAGCUAGAGUAUGGGAGAGGAUGGUAGAAUUCCAGGUGUAGCGGUGAAAUGCGUAGAGAUCUGGAGGAAUACCGAUGGCGAAGGCAGCCAUCUGGCCUAAUACUGACGCUGAGGUACGAAAGCAUGGGGAGCAAACAGGAUUAGAUACCCCUGUAGUCCCUGUCUCUUAUAC
rnacentral:rRNA from 1 species